rnacentral:rRNA from 1 species
CGACCGGCGCACGGGUGAGUAACGCGUAUGCAACCUGCCCGUUUCAGCGGGAUAACCCGGAGAAAUCCGGCCUAAUACCGCAUGUGGCCGAGGGGAGGCAUCUUCUUUCGGCCAAAGGAGGCGACUCCGGAGACGGAUGGGCAUGCGUGACAUUAGCUAGUUGGCGGGGUAACGGCCUACCAAAGCGACGAUCAGUAGCCGGCCUGAGAGGGCGGACGGCCACAUUGGGACUGAGACACGGCCCAAACUCCUACGGGAGGCAGCAG